UACGUAGGGUGCGAGCGUUAAUCGGAAUUACUGGGCGUAAAGCGUGCGCAGGCGGUUUUGUAAGUCAGAUGUGAAAUCCCCGGGCUCAACCUGGGAACUGCAUUUGAGACUGCAAAGCUAGAGUGUGGCAGAGGGGGGUAGAAUUCCAGGUGUAGCGGUGAAAUGCGUAGAGAUCUGGAGGAAUACCGAUGGCGAAGGCAGCCCCCUGGCCUGAUACUGACACUGAGGUGCGAAAGCAUGGGGAGCAAACAGGAUUAGAAACCCGUGUAGUCCCUGGACUGCCAAGGGCACACAGGGGA
rnacentral:rRNA from 1 species